CCUACGGGAGGCAGCAGUGAGGAAUAUUGGACAAUGGGCGCAAGCCUGAUCCAGCCAUGCCGCGUGCAGGAAGACGGUCCUAUGGAUUGUAAACUGCUUUUAUACAGGAAGAAACACCUCUACGUGUAGAGACUUGACGGUACUGUAUGAAUAAGCAUCGGCUAACUCCGUGCCAGCAGCCGCGGUAAUACGGAGGAUGCAAGCGUUAUCCGGAAUCAUUUGGGUUUAAAAGGGUCCGUAGGCGGUUUUAAUAAGUCAGUGGUGAAAGCCCAUCGCUCAACGAUGGAACGGCCAUUGAUACUGUUAAACUUGAAUUAUUAGGAAGUAACUAGAAUAUGUAGUGUAGCGGUGAAAUGCUUAGAGAUUACAUGGAAUACCAAUUGCGAAGGCAGGUUACUACUAAUAUAUUGACGCUGAUGGACGAAAGCGUGGGGAGCGAACAGGAUUAGAUACCCUGGUAGUCCACGCCGUAAACGAUGGAUACUAGCUGUUCGGAGCAAUCUGAGUGGCUAAGCGAAAAGUGAUAAGUAUCCCAACCUGGGGAGUUAGUUGCAAGAAAUGAAACUUAAAUUGAAUUGACGGCGNGAGNGNGCGACGACGACACAGGAGGAGG
rnacentral:rRNA from 1 species